UGAUGGCUUGCAGGAGGCAUAACUACUGAGGUACAGAGCAGUAGAGUGGUACGCAGCCAGAAUGAACGAGCCUGUGAGCCUGAGCUCAGGGCAAAGAAACCCUGAAGUUACAGAUACCAAUCUCAUGGCAGAAGUGAAGCAAAAUUCAUGU